rnacentral:rRNA from 1 species
UACAGAGGUGGCAAGCGUUGUUCGGAAUUACUGGGCGUAAAGGGCGCGUAGGCGGCUUGGUCAGUCCCGUGUGAAAUCCCUCGGCUCAACUGAGGAACUGCACGGGAAACUGCCUGGCUUGAGUUCGGGAGAGGGAAGCGGAAUUCCGGGUGUAGCGGUGAAAUGCGUAGAUAUCCGGAGGAACACCGGUGGCGAAGGCGGCUUCCUGGACCGACACUGACGCUGAGGCGCGACAGCUAGGGGAGCAAACAGG